UGAGCUAUGAAAAUCCAGCUCAAAAGGACAGACUGUGAAUCCUGCAAAUCCUCCUGUUGCAGUCUGAGAUUCCAGAUUUCCAAUGCAUCCUGGAUGAUUUUCUUGUUGACAAGAUUUGAUCCCUGUUUUCCAAGUUCACCACAGAAAAACAGCUGUUUCCUGCAAGGAAUUCCUGGAGGAAUGAGCUCCUUCAGUACAGGCAGCAUUCUGAAGCAAGAGACAAAAUUCAAAUGAGAAGGAAUUUGAGGAGUGCCACACUUUGCUCUGUGAGUGUUUCUGAGAAUGCUCUGGCAAGGACUUGAGGAAAACUGGGACAGCCAUGAAAAUGUUCUUUUAGGCCAAAGAAGAACAAUACAGCUAGCAGUGGAAAUGAUGCAUGGAAAUUAUGGAUGCAUUUUAACUUUCACCAGAUUUGCCCAGCUGAUGUGUAAAAGGAGUGGGAUCUGUGAUGGAAACAGGAGGGAAAUGGACAAAACUUUCAAUUCCUGCAUAUUUGCAAGACUUGGGCAUUUUAAGGCUCUGUCCUUAAAAGCUGUUUUGAGGCAAAACCCAAAUAAACCAUCAGUUUCUGAACCUUAUUCCUAAACUUGUCCCUUAAACCCCUACUGUGUUUUUCCACCACAUUUUCCAGUU